rnacentral:tRNA from 1 species
GGCCAGGUAGCUCAGUUGGUAGAGCAGCGGACUGAAAAUCCGCGUGUCGGUGGUUCGAUCCCGCCCCUGGCCACCA